rnacentral:rRNA from 1 species
CAGUCGAACGAAAUAUUUAGCACUUGUGUUAAAUAAUUUAGUGGCGAACGGGUGAGUAACACGUAAGAACUUACCCCUAGACGAGGUACAACAGUUGGAAACGACUGCUAAUACCUCAUAUUACCGGAAGGUGAAAGAAGCAAUUCGUCUAGGGCAAGGCUUGCGUCUGAUUAGCUUGUUGGUGAGGUAAAGGCUUACCAAGGCGACGAUCAGUAGUUGGUCUUAGAGGAUGAUCAGCCACAUUGGGACUGAGACACGGCCCAAACUUUUACGGGAGGCAGCAGUAAGGAAUUUUCCGCAAUGGGCGCAAGCCUGACGGAGCAAUACCGCGUGAAGGAUGACGGCCCAUGGGUUGUAAACUUCUUUUCUUGGAGAAGAAUUCUGACGGUAUCCAAGGAAUAAGCAUCGGCUAACUCCGUGCCAGCAGCCGCGGUAAGACGGGGGAUGCAAGCGUUAUUCGGAAUUAUUGGGCGUAAAGCGUCUGUAGGUGGUAAGGAAAGUGUAAUGUUAAAGAUCAGGGCUCAACCCUGGGAAAGCAUUGCAAACUAUCUUACUUGAGUUCGGUAGGGGCAGAGAGAAUUCCCAGUGUAGCGGUGAAAUGCGUAGAUAUUGGGAGGAAGACCGGUGGCGAAGGCGUUCUGCUGGGCCGUAACUGACACUCAGAGACGAAAGCUAAGGUAGCAAAUAGGAUUAGAUACCCUAGUANUCUUAGCUGUAAACGAUGCACACUAUG